rnacentral:rRNA from 1 species
UACCAGCUCUCCGAGUUGUAGGGAUGAUUAUUGGGCUUAAAGCGUCCGUAGCUGGCUUAGCAAGUCUCUUGUUAAAUUCAGCGACCUAAUCGUUGAGCCGCGGGAGAUACUACUAGGCUAGGAGGCGGGAGAGGUCGACGGUACUUUCGGGGUAGGGGUGAAAUCCUAUAAUCCCGGGAGGACCACCAGUGGCGAAGGCUGUCGACUAGAACGCGCUCGACGGUGAGGGACGAAAGCUGGGGGAGCGAACCGGAUUAGAUACCCGGGUAGUCCCAGCUGUAAACUAUGCGGGCUAGGUGUUGGGGUGGCUACGGGCCACUUCAGUGCCGCAGGAAAGCCAUUAAGCCCGCCGCCUGGGGAGUACGGCCGCAAGGCUGAAACUUAAAGGAAUUGGCGGGGGAGCACCACAAGGCGUGAAGCUUGCGGUUC